rnacentral:rRNA from 1 species
CGGGGUGAGUAAUGUCUGGGAAACUGCCUGAUGGAGGGGGAUAACUACUGGAAACGGUAGCUAAUACCGCAUAACGUCGCAAGACCAAAUGGGGGACCUUCGGGCCUCAUGCCAUAAGAUGUGCCCAGAUGGGAUUAGCUAGUAGGUGGGGUAACGGCUCACCCAGGCGACGAUCCCUAGCUGGUCUGAGAGGAUGACCAGCCACACUGGAACUGAGACACGGUCCAG